rnacentral:rRNA from 1 species
GACAGAGGGUGCAAACGUUGUUCGGAAUUACUGGGCGUAAAGCGCGUGUAGGCUGCCCUGCAGUCGGAUGUGAAAGCCCUGGGCUCAACCUAGGAAGUGCAUUCGAAACUGCGGGGCUGGAGUCCUGGAGAGGAAAGCGGAAUUCUCGGUGUAGAGGUGAAAUUCGUAGAUAUCGAGAGGAACACCGGUGGCGAAGGCGGCUUUCUGGACAGUGACUGACGCUGAGACGCGAAAGCGUGGGGAGCAAACAGG